CCUACGGGAGGCAGCAGUGGGGAAUUUUGGACAAUGGACGCAAGUCUGAUCCAGCCAUGCCGCGUGUGGGAAGAAGGCCUUCGGGUUGUAAACCACUUUUGUCAGGGAAGAAACGGCCUGGGAUAAUACCUUGGGCUAAUGACGGUACCUGAAGAAUAAGCACCGGCUAACUACGUGCCAGCAGCCGCGGUAAUACGUAGGGUGCAAGCGUUAAUCGGAAUUACUGGGCGUAAAGCGUGCGCAGGCGGUUAUGCAAGACAGAUGUGAAAUCCCCGGGCUCAACCUGGGAACUGCAUUUGUGACUGCAUGGCUAGAGUACGGUAGAGGGGGAUGGAAUUCCGCGUGUAGCAGUGAAAUGCGUAGAUAUGCGGAGGAACACCGAUGGCGAAGGCAAUCCCCUGGACCUGUACUGACGCUCAUGCACGAAAGCGUGGGGAGCAAACAGGAUUAGAUACCCUGGUAGUCCACGCCCUAAACGAUGUCAACUGGUUGUUGGGAGGGUUUCUUCUCAGUAACGUAGCUAACGCGUGAAGUUGACCGCCUGGGGGAGGACGGCGCGAGUAGUUAACGUUACGUAAGAAGUUAGUAGGCGNGAGAGNGCGACGGACGACGACGAGGGAGGAGG
rnacentral:rRNA from 1 species